rnacentral:lncRNA from 1 species
GGGCUUAUUUAUAGCAAUUUCACUUCUCCACAUAGAUGAGAAAGCGAAAUGGAAUUCAAGGCAUGGAGUCCAGAAGCAUAUUUCAAGAAAAGGACAUGGUCAGCAGGGUUUCAGUCUGAAGGUCUGCAACAAUAUGUAGAUUUUUUUAAAACACACAAAUAAAAGAGAAGCAGAGAUGAAUGAGAAAGAUGUAUCUGCCAACAAAAGAAAGCAAACAUCACCCACGGACCGGCACCCACAGGGAACCUUGUUUACUCUUGGGUGAGCAGUCUUUGAGCAUUUUACAAAACGACUCCUAUUUCAGGAGUAAUUUUACCCUUUUUUUCAGCAUAUGAUGACAAUCUUCCUCAUUCAAGGUAUUUUAUGACAGCACCAGUAUCAUAUGCAAAAGAUACAAACAGGCAGUUAAUUCCCCUUUAUACUUGCAAAAGAGAAGAAACAAAGGUGAAGACCCUGCGUGAGGAGACUACACAGCUUCAGAGAGAGAGAGAGAGAGAGAGAGAGAGAGCCGUUAGCACCCACUGAUAGAUUUCCCGGAUCUGACGCAACCCCAGCCAAGACCUCCCUGCCUGAGGGUACCAGGUUGCCUCUCCUUUCCUACAGCCGCCUUGCGAGAACAAAGACCACCAGAUGUCAAUCAACUGUGGAUUUUUCUCCUGACCUUGAGGAACCCACGAAUGCCUUCAGAUGGAAGUCACACUCGACUCUGCAGCAAAGGGGUCGCCCUGUGAAGCGGAGCCGUGAGUGUGCUGACUGUGGGACCCAGCUCUCAUCUCACACUUGACAUGAGACCGUCCAUCCAGUAGGGAAGCCAUGCAAAGAUGUGGGUUUUCUUUAGGCAUCCUUCACCAUUGAGGACUGCCCACCGUAACAGUCACGUGUUCGAGAAGUUCUUUGAAUGUGAUGACUUGUAGCAAUACUUUCACCACAGCUUCAGAGUUCAGGCAACUUCAGAAAUGCACACAGGACCAACACUACCCAGAUGUGAUGCAUCUGACGAGGCCUUUCAAUUUUACUCCUUAUUAAACAUCAGAGAGUUCACACUGGAGAG